rnacentral:rRNA from 1 species
AAUGAACGCUGGCGGCAGGCCUAACACAUGCAAGUCGAACGAGUGGCGGACGGGUGAGUAAUGUCUGGGAAACUGCCUGAUGGAGGGGGAUAACUACUGGAAAAGGUAGCUAAUACCGCAUAACGUCAGCUGUGCCCAGGUGGGAUUAGCUUGUUGGUGGGGUAACGGCACACCAAGGCGAAGAUCCCUAGCUGGUCUGAGAGGAUGACCGGCCACACUGGAACUGAGACACGGUCCAGACUCCUACGGGAGGCAGCAGUAGGGAAUAUUGCACAAUGGGCGCAAGCCUGAUGCAGCCAUGCCGCGUGUAUGAAGAAGGCCUUCGGGUUGUAAAGUACUUUCAUCGGGGAGGCGUUACCCGCAGAAGAAGCACCGGCUAACUCCGUGCCAGCAGCCGCGGUAAUUC